GACGAACCGUGCGAACGUUGUUCGGAUUCACUGGGCUUAAAGGGCGCGUAGGCGUGCACCCAAGUCGGGGGUGAAAUCUUUCGGCCCAACCGGAAAAGGGCCCCCGAUACUGGAUGCCUCGAGGGGGGUAGGGGCAUGCGGAACUUCCGGUGGAGCGGUGAAAUGCGUAGAGAUCCGGAGGAACACCGGUGGCGAAGGCGGCGUUCUGGACUGCAACUGACACUGAGGAACGAAAGCCAGGGGAGCAAACGGG
rnacentral:rRNA from 1 species